CUGGGGGCCGAGGGGUGACACGGGAAGGGGCGAGAGAAAAGAUCCCAAGACAACACAUCGGAGAAGUUACUGCCCACUGGAACAACUUGAGGAAUGGUUAAGAAGUUCUGGAGCUCCGGGAUGGAGAAAGCAUCCCACUGUGGAGGGAGAAGGGAAGAGUUAGAGAGGAACGGCGGCAGCACAGUAUGCAGGUGCACCAUCUUGUCUUGCUUCAAAAGUAAAGCAAGGUCUUGUCUCUGCUGGUUAAGAUUUACUUUACAGAUGAGAAAAAGGAGGCCCAGAGAGGUGACUGUCCCCAGGCCAAGCAGCACAAAAUAAAUAAAGGUCAGAUGCAAACUCUCAUGGAAAAAGAGCUCAUCACUCUUUUCCCUGCCUCUCUGAUAGUACCCAGCAGGCCCGAGGUGGAGGAAGCGUCCAGGUUGGGGAGAUGACAACUGCACUGACGUCAGGAAGCUGCUGGGCCGACCCCAAACAGGGGCCCACAACAGAGCCGGCCUCUGCCUUCCCUGCUUUCAGCCAGGCUGGUUGGAGAGGUUUCACCAACUUGGAUCACACAAGGUCAUUUCCUUUUCCCACUCCCCGACCUCCUCAGAGCUGAUAAAUGUUCAGAUCUCCCACCAAUCAAAGAUGUUUCUGUGACUGCCUGGGCUUGAGAGGGGGCCCCCACUCAUCUUCCACGGCAGCGGCCACCAGCAUGCCUCCUGUCUGCCCCGCUCUGUGCACGUUAUACUCCUCCCCGAGACCCACGAUUGUAGCAAAAGCCGGCCCAGGCAUCUGAUGUUUGGUUCACUCACAAAUUAGUU